AACGAACGCUGGCGGCAUGCCUAACACAUGCAAGUCGAACGAGACCUUCGGGUCUAGUGGCGCACGGGCGCGUAACGCGUGGGAACCUGCCCUUAGGUUCGGAAUAACUCAGAGAAAUUUGAGCUAAUACCGGAUAAUGUCUUCGGACCAAAGAUUUAUCGCCUUUGGAUGGGCCCGCGUAGGAUUAGCUUGUUGGUGGGGUAAUGGCCUACCAAGGCGACGAUCCUUAGCUGGUCUGAGAGGAUGAUCAGCCACACUGGGACUGAGACACGGCCCAGACUCCUACGGGAGGCAGCAGUGGGGAAUAUUGGACAAUGGGCGAAAGCCUGAUCCAGCAAUGCCGCGUGAGUGAUGAAGGCCUUAGGGUUGUAAAGCUCUUUUACCAGGGAUGAUAAUGACAGUACCUGGAGAAUAAGCGCCGGCUAACUCCGUG
rnacentral:rRNA from 1 species